AUAAAUACAAAAGUAUGUAUAUUCAACUUCUUAAUUAUAAGAGAGCAAACAAAAAAUAGUAUUGCAGUAUUAGUGUCAAUAGCAAUAUCCCGUUUAGGGUCGUUAAGAUGUUUCUAUCGUUAAACUGUAAAUAAGAAUGACUUAGUAAUUUCAGAUCUUUAUAGACGGUUUAAUUCCAAGUUAUUUAAAAAAUGUUCAUGAAAGAAAGCAGUAACCCCCUCUUAAAAUACUUCUAACAGAAUCAAAAUAUAAAAAAGGGAUAUAUGUCCUAUUUCAUCACGCAGUUCCAUUAAAAAUGUCGAUUAUUUGCAGAAAAUAUAAGAAAUAGAUCUGACUGUUUCAACUUUGGUGGGAAAUGUAUUGAUGAUAAGAGAAUUUUAUUGCUUCCUAAAGUAUAAUAGGAUUAAUUAAUUAAGAUUUCCUGAAAAUUAUCUUAUUAUAAGAUUUAUUUUUAUAGAUUUUAUCUUGGUGAGCAUACAAAUAGAAGAAGAGAAAACUCAUAUUAUAGAAGACGAGAUAUUAUUCUUCUAGAAGAAAAACAAGUAUGAAUGUAUAGUCGGGCGUAGCCGACCAUAUGAUACCCUACACCAGUCAGUAUGUAUGUUAAAA